AAGUCGUAACAAGGUCUCCGUAGGUGAACCUGCGGAGGGAUCAUUUAAGUAUACUAUAUUUAUAUAGAUAUAUAUACAAAGGAUAGAGAAUUUUUAUAUGUAUAUGCGAACUCGUGUCGUGUAUACGUAUAAGAGUGACUGUGGUGUGGUAUAUGUACUUGGUAUACACAUGUGUACCAAUAUAUUAUACUUGCCCAGUCAAAUGAAAACUUUUCAUAUACUAUAAUGUUGCAUGAUACAGGGUGAUUAUGAACCAUGGAGGGGUAUAUACCCAUCCACGGGGACGAUCACACAUUUACCUGGUCAAAAAUGGAUAUACCUUUUAAUGUAUACAACUUUUGGCAAUGGAUCUCUUGGUUCUC
rnacentral:misc_RNA from 1 species